GUUAAGUCAGAUGUGAAAGCCCGGGGCUCAACCUCGGAAUUGCAUUUGAAACUGGCAAACUAGAGUACUGUAGAGGGGGUAGAAUUUCAGGUGUAGCGGUGAAAUGCGUAGAGAUCUGAAGGAAUACCGGUGGCGAAGGCGGCCCCCCUGGACAGAUACUGACACUCAGAUGCGAAAGCGUGGGGAGCAAACAGGAUUAGAUACCCUGGUAG
rnacentral:rRNA from 1 species